UCGGAUUAAUACCCCAUAAUGUAUAUUGAUCACCUGAUUAAGAUAUUAAAACUCCGGUGGUGUAAGAUGGGCAUGCGUGACAUUAGAUAGUUGGUGAGGUAACGGCUCACCAAGUCGACGAUGUCUAGGGGUUCUGAGAGGAAGGUCCCCCACACUGGUACUGAGACACGGACCAGACUCCUACGGGAGGCAGCAGUGAGGAAUAUUGGUCAAUGGACGCAAGUCUGAACCAGCCAUGUCGCGUGUAGGAAGACUGCCCUAUCGGUUGUAAACUACGUUUAUAUGGGAAGAAUAGCAGAUACGCGUAUUUGUUUGCCGGUACCAUAUGAAUAAGCAUCGGCUAACUCCGUGCCAGCAGCCGCGGUAAUACGGAGGAUGCAAGCGUUAUCCGGAUUCAUUGGUUUAAAGGGUGCGUAGGCGGACUAUUAAGUCAGAGGUGAAAGUUUGCGGCUCAACCGUAAAAUUGCCUUUGAUACUGGUAGUCUUGAGUACAUUUGAGGUAGGCGGAAUGUGAUGUGUAGCGGUGAAAUGCUUAGAUAUAUCACAGAACACCGAUUGCGAAGGCAGCUUACUAAACUGUAACUGACGCUGAGGCACGAAAGCGUGGGUAUCGAACAGGAUUAGAUACCCUGGUAGUCCACGCCGUAAACGAUGAUUACUAGUUGUUUGCAAUACACCGUAAGCGACAAAGCGAAAGCAUUAAGUAAUCCACCUGGGGAGUACGUUGGCAACAAUGAAACUCAAAGGAAUUGACGGGGGCCCGCACAAGCGGUGGAACAUGUGGUUUAAUUCGAUCAUACGCGAGGAACCUUACCUGGGCUUAAAUGGGGAGUGACAGAACCAGAGAUGGUUUUUUCUUCGGACACUCUUCAAGGUGCUGCAUGGUUGUCGUCAGCUCGUGCCGUGAGGUGUCGGGUUAAGUCCCAUAACGAGCGCAACCCACGUCUUUAGUUACCAGCAUGUCAUGAUGGGGACUCUAGAGAGACUGCCGGUGUAAACCGCGAGGAAGGUGUGGAUGACGUCAAAUCAGCACGGCCCUUACGUCCAGGGCUACACACGUGUUACAAUGGCCGGUACAGAGGGCAGCUACUAUGCGAAUAGAUGCGAAUCUCGAAAACCGGUCUCAGUUCGGAUCGGAGUCUGCAACCCGACUCCGUGAAGCUGGAAUCGCUAGUAAUCGCGCAUCAGCCAUGGCGCGGUGAAUACGUUCCCGGGCCUUGUACACACCGCCCGUCAAACCAUGGAAGCCGGGGGUACCUGAAGUCUGUAACCGUAAGGAGCGGCCUAGGGUAGAUCUGGUAACUAGGGUUAAGUCGAAACAAGGUA
rnacentral:rRNA from 1 species